rnacentral:rRNA from 1 species
AGAGUUUGAUCCUGGCUCAGAACGAACGCUGGCGGCAGGCCUAACACAUGCAAGUCGAGCGCGCCCUUCGGGGUGAGCGGCGGACGGGUUAGUAACGCGUGGGAACGUGCCCAGAUCUAAGGAAUAGCCACUGGAAACGGUGAGUAAUACCUUAUACGCCCUUCGGGGGAAAGAUUUAUCGGAUUUGGAUCGGCCCGCGUUAGAUUAGGUAGUUGGUGGGGUAAUGGCCUACCAAGCCUACGAUCUAUAGCUGGUUUUAGAGGAUGAUCAGCAACACUGGGACUGAGACACGGCCCAGACUCCUACGGGAGGCAGCAGUGGGGAAUCUUGGACAAUGGGGGCAACCCUGAUCCAGCCAUGCCGCGUGAGUGAUGAAGGCCUUAGGGUCGUAAAGCUCUUUCGCCUGUGAUGAUAAUGACAGUAGCAGGUAAAGAAACCCCGGCUAACUCCGUGCCAGCAGCCGCGGUAAUACGGAGGGGGUUAGCGUUGUUCGGAAUUACUGGGCGUAAAGCGCGCGUAGGCGGAUUAGUCAGUUAGAGGUGAAAUCCCAGGGCUCAACCCUGGAACUGCCUUUAAUACUGCUAGUCUUGAGUUCGAGAGAGGUGAGUGGAAUUCCGAGUGUAGAGGUGAAAUUCGUAGAUAUUCGGAGGAACACCAGUGGCGAAGGCGGCUCACUGGCUCGAUACUGACGCUGAGGUGCGAAAGUGUGGGGAGCAAACAGGAUUAGAUACCCUGGUAGUCCACACCGUAAACGAUGAAUGCCAGUCGUCGGCAAGCAUGCUUGUCGGUGACACACCUAACGGAUUAAGCAUUCCGCCUGGGGAGUACGGUCGCAAGAUUAAAACUCAAGGGAUUUGACGG